UAUCCUACGGGAGGCAGCAGUAGGGAAUAUUGCUCAAUGGGGGAAACCCUGAAGCAGCAACGCCGCGUGGAGGAUGAAGGUUUUCGGAUUGUAAAUUCCUUUUGUUAGAGAAGAUAAUGACGGUAUCUAACGAAUAAGCACCGGCUAACUCCGUGCCAGCAGCCGCGGUAAUACGGAGGGUGCAAGCGUUAUCCGGAUUUACUGGGUGUAAAGGGCGCGUAGGCGGGAUGGCAAGUCAGAUGUGAAAUCCAGGGGCUCAACCCCUGAACUGCAUUUGAAACUGUCGUUCUUGGGUACUGGAGAGG
rnacentral:rRNA from 1 species